CAUGCACGUCUAAGUACAAACUAAAUGAUGGUGAAACUGCGAAUGGCUCAUUACAACGGUUAUGAUGUACCCGGGAGUUCCGAUGGAUAUUUCCAGUAACACUAGAACUAAUACAUGUCCCUGCGUUUAUUAGUUUCGCACAGUCCGUCGCUGAGUCAUGGUAAACAGUUGAUCGACUCGACGUCCCGGAACAGUUUCCGCCCCAUCAGCUUCGAUGGUUGGGUAUUGGCCUACCAUUGCAACAACGGGUAACGAGGAAUUAGGGUUUGAUUUCGGAGAGGGAGCCUGAGAAACGGCUACCACAUCUACGGAUGGCAGCAGGCGCGCAAAUUACCCAAUGCAGACACUGUGAGGUAGUGACGAGAAAUAAUAAAGCGGGACUUCUGUUUCGCUAUUAUAAUGAGGAAUAACCAAAGGUCAUUCCGAUUAGCAACUGAUGGGAAAGUCUGGUGCCAGCAGCCGCGGUAAUACCAGCGUCAGUAGCAUAUAUUAAAAUUGUUGCAGUUAAAACGUCCGUAGUCUGUACGUCGUCCCAAACUCACUGCAGUCUUCCGUUUUCUUCAUUGAAUGCGGUAGUUUCUGCAGUCACUCCCUUGAUCAAAUUAGGUUGUUCAAGGUAGACCAAGUCUUCAUAUUUUCACAUGGAAUUGGGUGAGGGAGCUUAAGAGUUUAAGUUUCUCGUCUUAGGAUCAUCCGGGGUCAUUCGUACUCGUCCGCGAGAGGUGAAAUUCUUGGACCGGACGAAGACGACCAGCAGCGAAAGCAUCUGUCAGGGAUGUUUUCUGCGACAAAGGACGAAGGUCAGGGUAUCGA
rnacentral:rRNA from 1 species